UGGGGAAUAUUGGGCAAUGGGGGCAACCCUGACCCAGCAACGCCGCGUGAGGGAAGAAGGUUUUCGGAUUGUAAACCUCUGUCCUAUGGGAAGAAGGAAGUGACGGUACCAUAGGAGGAAGCCCCGGCUAACUACGUGCCAGCAGCCGCGGUAAUACGUAGGGGGCGAGCGUUGUCCGGAAUUACUGGGCGUAAAGGGUGCGCAGGUGGCCUGACAAGUCAGAUGUGAAAUACCGAUGCUUAACGUCGGGGCUGCAUUUGAAACUAUGAGGCUGGAGUGCAGGAGAGGGAAGCGGAAUUCCUAGUGUAGCGGUGAAAUGCAUAGAUAUUAGGAGGAACACCAGUGGCGAAGGCGGCUUUCUGGACUGUAACUGACACUGAGGCACGAAAGCGUGGGGAGCAAACAGG
rnacentral:rRNA from 2 species